AAGGAACGCUAGCUAUGUGCUUAACACAUGCAAGUCGAACGGUAAGGCCGUGGUGCUGUGCGGUGCUAAAGUGGCGACCGGGUGAGAAGUAGGUGGGUUCGCUCCGCUUGACUUUAGAGUUACUACCGGAAUCUGGAGCUGGUACCGGAUAGGUGCUCAUGUUGCAUAGAGGGGGUGGGAAAGUCUGGGCGGUUGGUGAUGGACGCGCGGCUUAUCCGUUUGUUGGUGGGGUAGUGGCUUACCAAGGCUUUGACGGGUGGCCGGCCUGAGAGGGUGACCCGCCACAAUGGGACUGAGAAACGGGCCAGACUCCUACGGGAGGCAGCAGGGGGGAAAAUUGCACAAUGGGCGGAAGCCUGAUGCAGCAACGACGCGGUCGGGAUGACGGCCUUCGGGUGGUAAACCGCUUUCGCCUGUGACGAAGCGAGAGUGACGGGAAUGGGGAAAGAAGCACCGGCUAACUACGUG
rnacentral:rRNA from 1 species